UUAUCUGAACCUUCGGGGAACGAUAACGGCGUCGAGCGGCGGACGGGUGAGUAAUGCCUAGGAAAUUGCCCUGAUGUGGGGGAUAACCAUUGGAAACGAUGGCUAAUACCGCAUGAUGCCUACGGGCCAAAGAGGGGGACCUUCGGGCCUCUCGCGUCAGGAUAUGCCUAGGUGGGAUUAGCUAGUUGGUGAGGUAAGGGCUCACCAAGGCGACGAUCCCUAGCUGGUCUGAGAGGAUGAUCAGCCACACUGGAACUGAGACACGGUCCANACUCCUACGGGAGGCAGCAGUGGGGAAUAUUGCACAAUGGGCGCAAGCCUGAUGCAGCCAUGCCGCGUGUGUGAAGAAGGCCUUCGGGUUGUAAAGCACUUUCAGUCGUGAGGAAGGUAGUGUAGUUAAUAGCUGCAUUAUUUGACGUUAGCGACAGAAGAAGCACCGGCUAACUCCGUGCCAGCAGCCGCGGUAAUACGGAGGGUGCGAGCGUUAAUCGGAAUUACUGGGCGUAAAGCGCAUGCAGGUGGUUUGUUAAGUCAGAUGUGAAAGCCCGGGGCUCAACCUCGGAAUAGCAUUUGAAACUGGCAGACUAGAGUACUGUAGAGGGGGGUAGAAUUU
rnacentral:rRNA from 1 species